rnacentral:rRNA from 1 species
AUUGAACGCUGGCGGCAGGCUUAACACAUGCAAGUCGAGCGGAGAGAGGUAGCUUGCUACUGAUCUUAGCGGCGGACGGGUGAGUAAUGCUUAGGAAUCUGCCUAUUAGUGGGGGACAACAUUUCGAAAGGAAUGCUAAUACCGCAUACGUCCUACGGGAGAAAGCAGGGGAUCUUCGGACCUUGCGCUAAUAGAUGAGCCUAAGUCGGAUUAGCUAGUUGGUGGGGUAAAGGCCUACCAAGGCGACGAUCUGUAGCGGGUCUGAGAGGAUGAUCCGCCACACUGGGACUGAGACACGGCCCAGACUCCUACGGGAGGCAGCAGUGGGGAAUAUUGGACAAUGGGCGCAAGCCUGAUCCAGCCAUGCCGCGUGUGUGAAGAAGGCCUUAUGGUUGUAAAGCACUUUAAGCGAGGAGGAGGCUACUUUAGAUAAUACCUAGAGAUAGUGGACGUUACUCGCAGAAUAAGCACCGGCUAACUCUGUGCCAGCAGCCGCGGUAAUACAGAGGGUGCAAGCGUUAAUCGGAUUUACUGGGCGUAAAGCGCGCGUAGGCGGCUAAUUAAGUCAAAUGUGAAAUCCCCGAGCUUAACUUGGGAAUUGCAUUCGAUACUGGUUAGCUAGAGUGUGGGAGAGGAUGGUAGAAUUCCUGGUGUAGCGGUGAAAUGCGUAGAGAUCUGGAGGAAUACCGAUGGCGAAGGCAGCCAUCUGGCCUAACACUGACGCUGAGGUGCGAAAGCAUGGGGAGCAAACAGGAUUAGAUACCCUGGUAGUCCAUGCCGUAAACGAUGUCUACUAGCCGUUGGGGCCUUUGAGGCUUUAGUGGCGCAGCUAACGCGAUAAGUAGACCGCCUGGGGAGUACGGUCGCAAGACUAAAACUCAAAUGAAUUGACGGGGGCCCGCACAAGCGGUGGAGCAUGUGGUUUAAUUCGAUGCAACGCGAAGAACCUUACCUGGCCUUGACAUAGUAAGAACUUUCCAGAGAUGGAUUGGUGCCUUCGGGAACUUACAUACAGGUGCUGCAUGGCUGUCGUCAGCUCGUGUCGUGAGAUGUUGGGUUAAGUCCCGCAACGAGCGCAACCCUUUUCCUUAUUUGCCAGCGAGUAAUGUCGGGAACUUUAAGGAUACUGCCAGUGACAAACUGGAGGAAGGCGGGGACGACGUCAAGUCAUCAUGGCCCUUACGGCCAGGGCUACACACGUGCUACAAUGGUCGGUACAAAGGGUUGCUACCUAGCGAUAGGAUGCUAAUCUCAAAAAGCCGAUCGUAGUCCGGAUUGGAGUCUGCAACUCGACUCCAUGAAGUCGGAAUCGCUAGUAAUCGCGGAUCAGAAUGCCGCGGUGAAUACGUUCCCGGGCCU